rnacentral:sRNA from 1 species
GUCAGGCACUUUGGCAUAUACCUGUAAUCCCAGCUACUUGGGAGGCUGAGGCAGGAGGAUGGCAAGUUCAAGGUAAGCCUAAGUAACUUAGCAAGAUCCUGUCUCAA